UACAGAGGGUGCGAGCGUUUGUUCGGAAUUAUUGGGCGUAAAGGGCGCGUAGGCGGCGCCACAAGUCACUUGUGAAAACUCUGGGCUCAACUCAGAGCCUGCAAGCGAAACUGUGGUGCUGGAGUAUGGGAGAGGUGCGUGGAAUUCCCGGUGUAGCGGUGAAAUGCGUAGAGAUCCGGAGGAACACCAAAGGCGAAGGCAGUGUCCUGGGGAGUACCUGACGCUCAGGUGCGAAAGCCAGGGGAGCGAACGGG
rnacentral:rRNA from 1 species